rnacentral:lncRNA from 1 species
CCUCUUCAUCACUCAGUCCACUCCCAAAUAAUAAUAAUAAUAAUAAUAAUAAUAAUAAUAAAUAAUCAUAAUCAUUAGAGAUUUUGAAUUUUCAUCAACACUUCCUCGUCGCCCACGCCGCCUUGCCUACUCCGUCACCUCACCUUCCUCCGCCGCCUAGCCCUCGCCCACCUCUCCAUCCGUGUUCACACACAUGGUCUCGCUCUCCUUUGCCGUCUCGCCCGUCUCUCCAUCCAUACCCACCCCAAUCUCUUCCCUAUCGUCACCGAAAUGGAGGGGCGAGAAGGGCGCAGGAGGAGCGGAGGAGCCGGUGGAGGAAAUAGAAUCGGAGCUGCAGUUGAGUGAGAUGCGAAGAAUGGAAGAGAAGAGGCGGCGACUAAGCAAGAUUGGAGAGAAGACGAAGAUAGUGAGGAGUAAUUUGGUCAUUUUAUCAUCACAGUUAAACACCGUACUUUCUGUAAAUAUUUUUUAUUUUUUUAAAAGGUAAAAUAUAGGUUUUAAACGACAGGAGAGGAAAGUGAAAAAGUAGUUAUUGACAGAAAAUUUUUUAUAAUUUAGUCUUAAAAUAAAUAUCUAUUCUAGAACUUUUGAUUCUGCUAAAGUGAGGAGCCACUUAGGAUUACGGUGUGCCAGGAAUCAUAUGCUGGUUUGGUUUGAUUUGAUUUGAUUUUUAUUGUGAAUGGUUUGGUUUUGGCCUACAAGCCAAAGGGACAUCUGAAAGCUGUCUUUAAAAAUCAUAGCCUUAAACCAACAAAUCGAACCAAAACACCGACCAUCCCUAAAGCAACUGGCAAAGGGCUUGGUUGUUGGUAUCCGAGACCCAAAUUCGAAUCCUAGUUGAUUCACAUUUCUAGCUAAAUUUAUUUCUGAAUGAAAUAAACGAAGCGGGUAGUGUGCUACCUAUCUCUAAAAAAAAACAAAUCAAACCAAAACCAUUGAAAUUUUUGGUUUAGUUGAUUUAGCUAUUCACAUU